GAGAGCCCGGUGCCCGGAGACGGGCACGCCGGGUUCGGCGGGCGGACCGGGGAAACCCACCGGGAGCAACCCCGGCAGGGCGCCCCGGUCCGACCCAAC
rnacentral:autocatalytically_spliced_intron from 1 species